CCUGACCAUUUUGCACUCCUGAUCACAGCUGGUUGUGAUACAGCCCGGGAUCGAUCAUGGCUGUGUCUUGACAACACAGGAAGUGAUGCUGCAUAUUGACAAUACAGGAAGUGAUGCUGCAUCUUGACAACACAGGAAGUGAUGCUGCAUAUGGACAACACAGGAAGUGAUGCUGCAUCUUGACAACACAGGGAGUGAUGCUGCAUCUUGACAACACAGGAAGUGAUGCUGCAUCUUGACAACACAAGAAGUGAUGCUGCAUCUUGACAACACAGGAAGUGAUGCUGCAUAUUGACAACACAGGAAGUGAUGCUGCAUCUUGACAACACAGGAGGUGAUGCUGCAUCUUGACAACACAGGGAGUGAUGCUGCAUCUUGACAACACAGGGAGUGAUGCUGCAUCUUGACAACACAGGAAGUGAUGCUGCAUCUUGACAACACAGGAAGU